ensembl:lncRNA
CGAUCUGCACACAGCCCACUCCCAGUGGCACAGGAUUUCUAUAAGCUUUCCAAACAUACCAGGGUGAGGUGAUGCUUGCAGACACGACGUUUCCUCUGAUGGCAUCUUUCCACAAUCGUCUGAAAGCCACCAGGGGAAUGUGGAAGCUGGUUUCCAGCCAUAAUUCAUUUGGCCAACUCUGUACUUGCCUUUAAUUUUAAUAAUUUGGCGAUAUCCAUUUAUUUGACGUUUUGCAAAGAGGGAUCUGCAUUUGCUCAGAGAAAAUGAGAGUUGAAGGAUGGUAAAACGCCUUCAUAAAUUGCAAGUUAAAUUAAGAAGUUGCCUUAAAAGCACUGAGCUCUUAGCCCCGUGCAGUGUCAUUUAUGGCAUUUAGAACUGUGGUCCUGUUUGGAGGCCCAGAAUACUAAGGAGGCACAGGAAUUGGGCUCAGUUGUUCUGUGGCUGUUUCUGGCCUUUCCGAGCCCAUUUUUAUUAGUGGUUGGGAUAUAGUAAUGGGUUCAUAUGGCUUUUUCAUUUCUCACAGCACACGGUUUUUACCAACAAGUCUUAAUUUUCAAAAUUUUCAGCAUUUGAACACUUCAUGUCAAUACAAAAGCUGUUUCUGAAAAUUUUCUCUGUUAUUUGAUCCUAUCAAUAUUAUUCUACAGCGCUGUAGUGAAAAUAAGUUGUAUUGUGAUGCAAUAGUAGUAUCACAAUUUUGGUGAAAUUGUGAUGAUUUGAGAUCACAGAAUCACAGUUGUUGGAAGGGACCUCAAGAGAUCAUCGAGUUCAACCCCCCUGCUAAAGUAGGUCACACAGGUAGGCACCCAGCCAGGUCAUGAGCAUCUCCAUAGAGGGAGACACUCUGGUCAGCCUGUUCCAGUGCUCCGUCACCCUUACUGUAAAGAAGUUCUUCCACAUGUUAGUAUGGAAAUUCCUGUGUUCAAGUUUUGGGCUAUUACUAAGUGUCCUAUCUUUGCACACCAUCGAGAAGAGCCUGGCCUCAUCCAUUUGCCUCCCACUUUCCUUUAGCUAUUUAUAAACAUGUAUCAGAUCCCCUCUCAGUCUUUUUAUGCCCAGAAAAAUAGAGUAUAUUGUUCUCACCACGUGAUGAAACACAGUAAAAAACAAAAAGGAAGCCAAACAUGAAAUAAAAUCAACCCCAACAAUUCUACUGACAAUACAAAGUGCUAUGUUUCACAAAAUUUAUAUUUUUGUGAAAAGGCUUUUCUUUCAAAUGACUUCCUUCCAUUCAUUUCCACUGAAAGAAAUAUAACGUGACGUCGAAUAGUAUUUUUUUUUUUUUAUUAUAAUGAGAACUGUCUGGAGGGGCUACAGUCUUUGUGACAUUGUAUAAUGCUUUGUGAAGACUUCCUCACAUCUCAGCACCACCCUAGCACUUAGACACUCACCUCCAGAUUCUUCUUGUUGAGCUGAAAAGGAAUUUUCCUUUAAAGUAAAUGUGUUGUAAGACCUUCUGUUGUUUAAGGGCAUCUGAGUCCUUACUUCAUCAAAGCGACCAUUAAAGCCUCCUAUAAAUACUACCUUGGAAAGCAGAAGUUUUCAAUUACCACAGCUCCUCUCCUGAUAUCAGUUCCUAUAAUGACCAGCCUCCAUUAGUGCAACUUUCUUAAAGC